rnacentral:SRP_RNA from 1 species
AGAGAUUGGCUCGGGUAAACCUUAUCGAUCACCCGGUCAGGUCUGAAAGGAAGCAGCCGAAUUGUAAAGGUUUAGGUCGAUUGUCGAUCUCUCGU